rnacentral:rRNA from 1 species
AAUCAACGCUGGCGGCGUGCCUCAGACAUGCAAGUCGAACGAUUAAAGCUCUCUUCGGAGAGUGCAUAGAGUGGCGCACGGGUGAGUAACACGUAAGUAAUCUACCUUCGAGUGGGGAAUAACAGUCGGAAACGACUGCUAAUACCGCAUAAUGCAGCGGCAUCGCAAGAUGACAGUUGUUCAAGGAGCAAUUCGCUUGAAGAGGAGCUGCGGCAGAUUAGCUAGUUGGUAAGGUAAUGGCUUACCAAGGCUACGAUCUGUAACCGGUCUAAGAGGACGGUCGGUCACACUGACACUGAAUAACGGGUCAGACUCCUACGGGAGGCAGCAGUCGGGAAUUUUGGGCAAUGGGCGAAAGCCUGACCCAGCAACGCCGCGUGAAGGAUGAAGUAUUUCGGUAUGUAAACUUCGAAAGAAUGGGAAGAAUAAAUGACGGUACCAUUUAUAAGGUCCGG